rnacentral:rRNA from 1 species
UACGUAGGGUGCGAGCGUUAAUCGGAAUUACUGGGCGUAAAGCGUGCGCAGGCGGUGAUGUAAGACCGAUGUGAAAUCCCCGAGCUUAACUUGGGAAUUGCGCUCGAAACUACGGAGCUGGAGUGUGGCAGAGGAAGGUGGAAUUCCACGUGUAGCGGUGAAAUGCGUAGAGAUGUGGAGGAACACCGAUGGCGAAGGCAGCCUUCUGGGCCAACACUGACGCUCAUGCACGAAAGCGUGGGGAGCAAACAGG